rnacentral:rRNA from 1 species
UAUGAACGCUAGCGGCAGGCUUAAUACAUGCAAGUCGAGGGACAGCACAGGUAGCAAUACUGGGUGGUAACCGGCAAACGGGUGCGGAACACGUACACAACCUUCCUUUAAGUGGGGGAUAGCCCAGAGAAAUUUGGAUUAAUACCCCGUAAUAUAGUUGAAUGGCAUCAUUUGACUAUUAUAGCUACGGCGCUUAAUGAUGGGUGUGCGGCUGAUUAGAUAGUUGGCGGGGUAACGGCCCACCAAGUCUACGAUCAGUAGCUGAUGUGAGAGCAUGAUCAGCCACACGGGCACUGGGACACGGGCCCGACUCCUACGGGAGGCAGCAGUAAGGAAUAUUGGUCAAUGGACGCAAGUCUGAACCAGCCAUGCCGCGUGAAGGAUUAAGGUCCUCUGGAUUGUAAACUUCUUUUAUUUGGGACGAAAAAGGGCCUUUCUAGGUCAACUGACGGUACCAGAUGAAUAAGCACCGGCUAACUCCGUGCCAGCCGCCGCAGUAAUAC